GAUGAACGCUAGCGGCAGGCCUAAUACAUGCAAGUCGAACGAUACCGGAGAGCUUGCUUUCCGGGAAAGUGGCGCACGGGUGCGUAACGCGUAUGCAACCUACCUUAAUCAGGGGGAUAGCCUCUCGAAAGAGAGAUUAACACCGCAUAACAUCAUUUUACGGCAUCGUCGAAUGAUCAAAUAUUUAUAGGAUUAAGAUGGGCGUGCGUGUCAUUAGUUAGUUGGUGAGGUAAUGGCUCACCAAGACGAUGAUGACUAGGGGAUCUGAGAGGAUGACCCCCCACACUGGUACUGGGACACGGACCAGACUCCUACGGGAGGCAGCAGUAAGGAAUAUUGGUCAAUGGAGGCAACUCUGAACCAGCCAUGCCGCGUGCAGGAAGACGGCCCUAUGGGUUGUAAACUGCUUUUAUACGGGAAUAAACCUCUCUACGUGUAGGGAGUUGAAUGUACUGUAAGAAUAAGGAUCGGCUAACUCCGUGCCAGCCGCCGCAGUAACAC
rnacentral:rRNA from 1 species